rnacentral:ncRNA from 1 species
GGUGGUGAGUCAUGUUUGCAGGAACUCAGCAUUUACUUUUUGUGACACACACAAAUAUAUUUGAUGCAUGCAAAUUUACCCUGUACAUUAAAUACCCGCAGCGGUCCUGACGUGCAAAUCGUUCGUCCGACCUUGGGUAUAGGGGGGAAAGACUAAUCGAACCAUUUAGUAG